UUAAGAACUGAGUUUCCAUUGCAUAUAUACACGCCGGAUUAAGAACCGAGUUGUGUUGCCUUUACAUGAUGUUAAUAAUAUAUUCUGUUCACAGGGUUUCCUGAUAAGCACAUUGUACCUGAAUCUUGUGGUAUCCAUGGUAGUGUAAUUAAUGUGAUAUCCACAAAUGAAGUGAUUUCCGUCACUUAAAGUAGGUCGCUGGUGAAAUUACGGUUUCCAAUAGAGCGGAGAGAGCAACUGUUCGGAAUGCCUAGCUGAACGAAUACAUGCAACAGGCUGCGCGACAACCUUGUCAUGAAGGGCCAACUUCUGCGGUCGUUGCGCUGACAGCCACGAAAGAAGCCGUAUCACCGUGGCUUUCGUAUGAAGAUUUGAUAUGGUAAUGUGUGUUGUCUUAUAGCAAAAUUGGUGGCUAGUACACAUUGAUUAUUACCAUUUAUUAAUUUUAUCAUGUUGAUAGAAAAAAAUAAUCAGCGGUUGUUAAAGGUCCUGCCAAGGAACAGCCAUGUAUUCUGCUUAAUAUAUAUUCAAAAAAAAAAAAAAUACAUGACAAUAUUUUGUAAUGUCUUGAUUGUCAUUGUUUAUUACUAAAUUAUUUAACGGCUAUGUAAGCCGGAUCUGUAAUUGAGAGCACCUACUAUGCCAAUUGUAAAUUAAUUUCUCGUAACCUUAUCAUGUUACUUGAACGACAGUUGUGUUGUACUGAUUCUAUCACCUACUGGCUUAGUUCCAAGGAAAAAUUAUCACGUUCUCGUUACAUUAAGGAACUUAGUAUUUCCCAUGUAUGUUACAGAGCUUCUUAACAAGAGCUUGUGCUGUGUUGGAAGGUGGCUAUGAUCACGAUAGGGUGUGUCAUGUUAACCUCUCACGAGUUGUACGCCUUCUUGCGCAUGUGGGGAGCUUCACAGCCUACAGUGACGAAGCCAACUGUGAGUUUGUUCCAUGUAUUUGCUAUUUAAACGACGCCAAUCAUCAUUAUUAUAUUGAGCGGUUGGUUAGUUUGGAAUGCACCGCUCACGUAAGUCUUAACUUAAGGCAUAAAUGGCAUAAUACUUGCCUGAAAAUAAAUGAAAUGUAUUGAUGGGU
rnacentral:lncRNA from 1 species